rnacentral:tRNA from 1 species
GGUAGCAUGCCAGAGUGGUUAAUGGGUGGGACUUGAAUUACCAAUUUGUACGGUCUACAUCCCAUGGCUUCGGCCGCGCAGGUUCGAACCCUGCUGCUAUCG